rnacentral:rRNA from 1 species
AUUGAACGCUGGCGGCAGGCCUAACACAUGCAAGUCGAGCGGAUGAAGGGAGCUUGCUCCUGGAUUCAGCGGCGGACGGGUGAGUAAUGCCUAGGAAUCUGCCUGGUAGUGGGGGAUAACGUCCGGAAACGGGCGCUAAUACCGCAUACGUCCUGAGGGAGAAAGUGGGGGAUCUUCGGACCUCACGCUAUCAGAUGAGCCUAGGUCGGAUUAGCUAGUUGGUGAGGUAAAGGCCUACCAAGGCGACGAUCCGUAACUGGUCUGAGAGGAUGAUCAGUCACACUGGAACUGAGACACGGUCCAGACUCCUACGGGAGGCAGCAGUGGGGAAUAUUGGACAAUGGGCGAAAGCCUGAUCCAGCCAUGCCGCGUGUGUGAAGAAGGUCUUCGGAUUGUAAAGCACUUUAAGUUGGGAGGAAGGGAAGUAAGUUAAUACCUUGCUGUUUUGACGUUACCAACAGAAUAAGCACCGGCUAACUUCGUG